rnacentral:lncRNA from 1 species
GGAAUCAGCCUGACCCCACCCUCCCAGAGUCUGCAGUUGGGUCACAAGGGCCUCCCUCCCUGGGUGACCACAGGAGCGAGCGCCACUCGGCUCCCUGGAGACGGCACCACUGGUGGCCUGAGACCUGUCCUAUGAACAUCUGUCACUCAACCAAAAAUGCCAAGGGUACAAGAUGAAAAUCAACCAAAAAAGGUGAAGGAGAAGAAGCAAUGCAGAGAAGC